rnacentral:rRNA from 1 species
GACGAACGCUGGCGGCGUGCUUAACACAUGCAAGUCGAACGGUAAGGCCCUUCGGGGUACACGAGUGGCGAACGGGUGAGUAACACGUGGGUAAUCUGCCCUGCACAUCGGGAUAAGCCUGGGAAACUGGGUCUAAUACCGAAUAGGACCACAGGACACAUGUCCUGUGGUGGAAAGCUUUUGCGGUGUGGGAUGGGCCCGCGGCCUAUCAGCUUGUUGGUGGGGUGAUGGCCUACCAAGGCGACGACGGGUAGCCGGCCUGAGAGGGUGUCCGGCCACACUGGGACUGAGAUACGGCCCAGACUCCUACGGGAGGCAGCAGUGGGGAAGAUUGCACAAUGGGCGAAAGCCUGAUGCAGCGACGCCGCGUGGGGGAUGACGGCCUUCGGGUUGUAAACCUCUUUCACCAUCGACGAAGGUCCGGGUUUUCUCGGGCUGACGGUAGGUGGAGAAGAAGCACCGGCCAACUACGU